rnacentral:lncRNA from 1 species
UGGGCUACCGGGGGGGGAUGCCUCUUUUUUGUGGAGGAUACUGUGCAUGUUGGAGGGGACUUGGUGGAUGGGGACUUGGUGAUUCCUCGGCAUCUUGGAUAUGAUCUAGUCUGGCAACCCUACUUAUCCAUACUCCCCAUCAGUUUUGGAUGCAGUCGCCGAGGUGAAGGUUUGAAAAAAGUUAAAAAGUCUCUUCUUGACUUGUUUACCUGGAAUCUUGCCACAAAAAGUUUGCUGAUGAAGGAAUUAAAUUUAAUGCUGGUUGAAUCCGACCAUAAGUACAACUACUAAUGCCCGUCUUAGUGGACGGCUCCUUGUACAUUCACUUACGGAAUUCAUCUUGAAUUGACCCAAAGUUAUUCUGUAUUUGUCUUUGUUGGACUGGCCAUUGCUGUUUUUUUCUCAAUAGUUGGUUUGUUAUCCAGAUGUAACAACAGAAAAGCCUAUGUUGGCAUGUAAUGCGUUUAAAGAAGUAGCUAACCAAUAACCAUGGGAAGAAAUCAGCAUGGUAAAUGUUGGAGCAGAAUGGUCGCCCGAAAGAGUUACGUAAAACUAGCACAAAAGUAGAAGGACGCAGACAAUAGCUGAAAGCUCAUGAGGGUGAGCCUCUCAAGUGACCAGAUUUUAUGUUGACCUUGUGGAACUAAAAGUGCAAAGGGUGCAAGCCCUGAAGGAUUUGACAAGUGCACCGUAUGCUGUGUUUGCAACCAUUAACUACCACCAUUUGAGCAAUCAUCUCAUCAUUUCUACUGGACCUAUUGUGUGAAAGGAUUUUUUGUUCUAAGUACGAGGAACUUAAAAUGCAAAGGAUACUGGCCCUGAAGGAAAGUAAUCAGCUAAAUAAAUAUCACCAACACAAAUACAUGUCAGACAAUGUCAACGCCAUCGAGGAAUAUAUCAGCAGCCUUGUCCCUAGAUUACUCACGCUUGCUAAAGAUGGUUUGACCAUGGAUGUCCGCCGCCUUGCACUUCGAUGUCUGUCAGAGCUAAGGAAAGCCCAGACGGUGGUUUUGCUAUCUAAAUAUUGCUAUCGAAAA